CCUACGGGAGGCAGCAGUGAGGAAUAUUGGUCAAUGGACGAGAGUCUGAACCAGCCAAGUAGCGUGAAGGAUGACUGCCCUAUGGGUUGUAAACUUCUUUUAUAAAGGAAUAAAACGUUGCACGUGUGCCUUUUUGUAUGUACUAUAUGCAUAAGGAUCGGCUAACUCCGUGCCAGCAGCCGCGGUAAUACGGAGGAUCCGAGCGUUAUCCGGAUUUAUUGGGUUUAAAGGGAGCGUAGGUGGGUUGUUAAGUCAGUUGUGAAAGUUUGCGGCUCAACCGUAAAAUUGCAAUUGAUACUGGCAGUCUUGAGUACAGUUGAGGUGGGCGGAAUUCGUGGUGUAGCGGUGAAAUGCUUAGAUAUCACGAAGAACCCCGAUUGCGAAGGCAGCUUACUAAACUGUGACUGACAUUGAGGCUCGAAAGUGUGGGUAUCAAACAGGAUUAGAUACCCGAGGAGUC
rnacentral:rRNA from 1 species